CGCCGCCUCCAAUCUCGCCGUCGCUGUCUCUCUCCCUCUCCCUCUCCACCUCCGCCUCCUCAUCCCCGUCGUCGUUAUCUUCCUCGUCAUCCUCUUCGUCGUCGUUCUCCACUGCCGUCGCACACAGCAGCGACCGCUGAGUAAUUCAUCCUGAAGAACCCCUCGUUCAUCGCCGCCGCGGACGCCGACCUCUUCUGCGGCAGAGCCACGGCCGUCACGACCGGCCUCGCCGGCGAAGACUUCUGGUAUGCCAGAGGCAGCGAAAUAGCGACCGGCGGCGAGGGCUUCUUGACGUUAGAUCUAAUGACAGCUUCGAGGCGAUCG
rnacentral:lncRNA from 1 species